GACAGUCCACCAAAAGAUGUCAAACCAAAUCCAGCCUAUUGUAAAGCUCUGGGACCUCCCUUCCAAGGACACCGAACACAAGCUUAGACACCGCUGCGAAAAGCUGUCCAAAAGCGCCUGGCCGGACAGAAAUGUAAGGAGCCCAGGCCAAAACGAAUUAGAACCCCCAACAGAGGGUCCCGCAGACACCGCGGAAAAGAAGGUGGCAUUUAUUCCGGGGUAGACAGCUACGAACCAGUUACCCCAGCCAGUCUCUGGGGGCUCUCCAACCCAAGUUCAGGUUUAUGGCAGAUAUAUUGGUUGGGUGCCUUCCCCUACAAACAUCACAGCCCGCCUCCGGGGCCCACCGCCGCUCACAGAGAAGACCCCUCAGCUUCACAUCCGUUCCUUUUGCCCUCGGACAAAGGCAGAGGAGCUGUGGAGCUGACCCAGCGCUGUGGGGCAGUAAAAAUGCCUUGUUCGGGCCACCCAUCUUUGGGCCCGGCUUCAUCUGCGAUGUCAGCACCAAAGGUUUUUUUUUUUUUUUUCCUGGUUUUGUUUUGUUUUUACAACGCAUCCUGGGCGGGUGUAUGCAUUUGGUGGUAGUGGGGUGGGGGGAACCGAACAGAGGAGGGGUUGGCAGUGAAGCCUGGGUUAUAGAACUCUCCUUCCUCUCCCUCCUUCCAGGGUUGCCGUGCAGGGAGUGUCAGCCACGUCUAGCGCACAGUCCCAGGCCCCAGGGCGAAGGCGGCCAGGGGAAAUGGGGCUCAGGGAUUGCUAAGCAAACGCAUCACUGGUGGUCUCCAGCGCCUGCGGAGCAUCAAGCUUAUGAAGAUUUCCAAGACUUUAUUGUUGACCCUUGUUGAAGAGAACUCUACUUGGCUUCUUUCCUGGCUUUCCUAAAUUGUUCACAUACAAGAUAAACUACCGUCAUUCAGACUUACAGAAGUGAGAAGACAAGCUGAACCAAAUGUAAAAUGGUAGCAAUUUACAGAUGUCAGAACUAACAUGUGGAUGAACUUAGAGAUGGAGAAGAAAGCUGGGCUUUUCCAAAGAGUGGAUCUAUCUGAACUGGAUAGCACUAUUGAACUUUGUUGCAUAUUUUGUGGUAGCUCUAAAACUCCUCUGCUUGCUUACAUACAACCAGACACCAGUGCCUUCUGAAGCUAAUCCAGGCCAUUUUUAUAACCUAAUGCAGUAGCACUUUGCAAUUAGAUGAAGAAGAUCGGUGGGAUUUCUUUCUGUGGUGAUUAAAAUGUGUCAGGGGAAGAAAUCAAGACAAUACUCCAAGUGAAAAAUAUAAAGUCAGUUAUUUCUUUAAUAUUUUGUGUUAUAGUAAUCAUUUUUAUAUUUUGAGCAUACUUUUUCUUGUCUACUUAAAUACUCAAAAUUAAUUAUAAAAUGUAAAUGUAAGCACAAUGAGAUACCAUCUCAUCCCAGUUAAAAUGGCUUUUAUCAAAAAGAUAGGGAAUAAUGAAUACUGGUGGAAGGAUGUGGAGAAUGGGGAACCCUCGUACACUGUCAAUGAGAAUGUAAAUUAGUACAGCCACUAUGGAAAACUGUAUGGAAGUGCCUCCGAAAACAAAGUAGAACUACCAUGUGAUCCAGCAAUUACACUAGUGGGUAUAUAUUCAAAAGAAAGGAAAUCAACAUAUUAAAGAGAUAGCUGCAUUCUCAUGUUUAUUGAAGUCCUGUUGAAAUAGCCAAAAUAUGGAAUCAACCUAAGUGCCCAUCAGUGGAUGAAUGGUUAAAGAAAAUGUGAUUGAUAUGCAAUGGAAUAUUAUUCAGCCAUAAAAAAGAAUGAAAUCCUGGCGGGGCACAGUGGCUCAUGCAAGUAAUCCCAGCACUGACCUCAUGAAGACAGAGAGUAGAUUGGUGGUUACCAGAGGUUGAGAAGGGGAGAGGAGAGGAGGGAUGAAGAGAGGUUGAUUGAUGGAUAGAAAUAUACAGUUUGAUAAUGAUAAAUCAGUAGGGUGACUAUAGUUUAUAAUAACCUAUUGUAUGGUUCAAAAUAGCUAAAAGAGAAUAAUUGAAAUAACGUAAGACAAAAAUUUAAGAUGAUAGAUAUCCCAAUUACACUGAUUUGAUCUUUACAAAUUAUAUGAAUGUAUUAAAUUAUUACAUGUAUCCCCAAAAUAUGUACAAGUAUUUUGUAUCAAUAAAAAAUAAAAUUUAAGAUAAAGUAAAUGUAAUGAUUAGCUUAUAUUUCCUAGAUCGGAAAUAAAUAUUUACUUAAGUAUGUUUAUGAUGAAGAGUUUUUUUAUAUUACUAUAAAAAUAGACACCUUACAUAAACAUAUUACAGUUGGUGUUUAGAUGGCUCUUUUUUUUCUGGCCUUGAAUUUCUGGAAAGUAGGUAUGGCCUGCUAUGUCAGGACUAGUUCUUGGAAUUCUUUGUUGUUUUUCAGUCAGCCUUAUUUUCUUGGGUCAUGUUUUGAACAAUAUUUAUCAAAUGUCUGUUUACCAGACGUUGUUCCAGAUGCUUGAACAAAAUGAAAUGUCUGCUGUCAUAGAGUUUCCAGUCUAUGUAAGACAGUAAACAAAUGUAUAAUAUAAUGCUAGAUAGUGAUAAGUGCUAAAAAGAAGAAGAAAAUAGGAAAGGGGAAAGAGAGUUUCUGUGUGAUUGUAUGUGAAAGUGUCCAUGCAUGCCGCUCACCCAGUAUUUUAAAUAGAGUGAUCAAGGAAGCCUGUCUGAAGAAGUAACAUUUGAACAGAGAUCUGAAAUAGUCAGUCACGGGAACAUUUAGGGAGAUGUUCCAGGCAGGCAUUGUGGACAAUUUAUGUCACAAAAAAGUCACCCAAGUGUUAAGUCAAGUAACAUCCUGUAUGAUAACUAUAUAUACAUUUUUUUGUUUUUUCUUAAGUGAAAAACAAACUUAUUAGGUUUUCUGGGUACUCAUUAGGUUUUCAGAAAAGUUUUUCAUUUAAUAUCAUUAUUGCUGUAUAUUUCCCUUAAUGAUUAUUCUAUUAUUUAAUACAUAAGAUUUAUGGCUCUACAGAUACAGCUUCACAAUCCCUUAUCUGUAAUUCCAAAAUACAAAAAAAUUUCUUAAUUCAUUUAGUGGCAAAAUCUGAACUGACAUGAAUCUAUUUAAAAUUAUCCUUUAUGGGCCAGGUGCAGUGGCUUACGCCUAUAAUCCCAGCACUUUGGGAGGCCAAGGCAGGAGGAUCACUUGAGGCCAGGAGUUUGAGACCAGCCUGGCCAACAUGGUGAAAUCCCAUUUCUCCUAAAAAUACAAAAAUUAGCUGGGUGUGGUGGCACAUGCUUGUGGUCCCACCUACUUGGGAGGCUGAGGCACGAGAAUCACUUGAACCUGGGAGGUGGAGGUUGCCGAGAUCUUGCCACUGCACUCCAGCCUGGGUGACAGAGCGAAACUCUUGUCUCAAAAAAAAAAAAAGUAUUUAUUCCAUUUAGUGUGACUACUGAUACAUUUCAUUGUAGAAACAUUAGUGUGUUUGAUGAAGGGUUGCUACACAUUAAGUAAAAUAUAGAUAAUACAAUGUAUUGUACCCUAAAAUAUAAAAAAAAUUAAAUCCAGAAACACGUGUUCCCAAGAAUUUUGGAUAAGGGAUUGUAGAUCUGUGUCAGAUUUCUUCUUGAUUUUCUGAUUAAAUGUUACCAUUGUUGUUAAUCUUUAGAUACAUUGUUUUUAGAAGUAUAAUGCUAUAUAGUGCCCUUAUUAUAUACUGGCAU
rnacentral:lncRNA from 1 species